rnacentral:rRNA from 1 species
AGAGUUUGAUCAUGGCUCAGGAUGAACGCUAGCGGGAGGCCUAACACAUGCAAGCCGAGCGGUAUAGAAUCUUCGGAUUUUAGAGAGCGGCGUACGGGUGCGGAACACGUGUGCAACCUACCUUUAUCUGGAGGAUAGCCUUUCGAAAGGAAGAUUAAUACUCCAUAAUAUAUUGAUUGGCAUCAAUUAAUAUUGAAAGCUCCGGCGGAUAGAGAUGGGCACGCGCAAGAUUAGUUAGUUGGUGAGGUAACGGCUCACCAAGACGAUGAUCUUUAGGGGGCCUGAGAGGGUGAUCCCCACACUGGUACUGAGACACGGACCAGACUCCUACGGGAGGCAGCAGUGAGGAAUAUUGGACAAUGGGUGCAAGCCUGAUCCAGCCAUCCCGCGUGAAGGACGACUGCCUAUGGGUUGUAAACUCCUUUUGUAUAGGGAUAAACCUCUCCUCGUGAGGAGAGCUGAAGGUACUAUACGAAUAAGCACCGGCUAACUCCGUG